GCUCUGGUGGUGGAAUUGGUAGACACGCAUGCUUGAGGGGCAUGUGGGGGUAACCCCGUGGAGGUUCGAGUCCUCUCCAGAGCA
rnacentral:tRNA from 1 species